rnacentral:rRNA from 1 species
AGCGAACGCUGGCGGCAGGCCUAACACAUGCAAGUCGAGCGGGCCCUUCGGGGUCAGCGGCGGACGGGUGAGUAACGCGUGGGAACGUGCCUUCUGGUCUGGAAUAACCCUGGGAAACUAGGGCUAAUACCGGAUACGCCCUUUUGGGGAAAGGUUUACUGCCGGAAGAUCGGCCCGCGUCUGAUUAGCUAGUUGGUGGGGUAACGGCCUACCAAGGCGACGAUCAGUAGCUGGUCUGAGAGGAUGAUCAGCCACACUGGGACUGAGACACGGCCCAGACUCCUACGGGAGGCAGCAGUGGGGAAUAUUGGACAAUGGGCGCAAGCCUGAUCCAGCCAUGCCGCGUGAGUGAUGAAGGCCUUAGGGUUGUAAAGCUCUUUUAUCCGGGACGAUAAUGACGGUACCGGAGGAAUAAGCCCCGGCUAACUUCGUGCCAGCCGCCGCAGUAA